AACAGGAUUAGAUACCCUGGUAGUCCACGCUGUAAACGAUGCUAACUCGUUUUUGGGGAUUUAUCUUCAGAGACUAAGCGAAAGUGAUAAGUUAGCCACCUGGGGAGUACGAACGCAAGUUUGAAACUCAAAGGAAUUGACGGGGGCCCGCACAAGCGGUGGAUUAUGUGGUUUAAUUCGAUGAUACGCGAGGAACCUUACCAAGGCUUAAAUGGGAAUUGAUCGGUUUAGAAAUAGACCUUCCUUCGGGCAAUUUUCAAGGUGCUGCAUGGUUGUCGUCAGCUCGUGCCGUGAGGUGUUAGGUUAAGUCCUGCAACGAGCGCAACCCCUGUCACUAGUUGCCAUCAUUCAGUUGGGGACUCUAGUGAGACUGCCUACGCAAGUAGAGAGGAAGGUGGGGAUGACGUCAAAUCAUCACGGCCCUUACGCCUUGGGCCACACACGUAAUACAAUGGCCGGUACAGAGGGCAGCUACACAGCGAUGUGAUGCAAAUCUCGAAAGCCGGUCUCAGUUCGGAUUGGAGUCUGCAACUCGACUCUAUGAAGCUGGAAUCGCUAGUAAUCGCGCAUCAGCCAUGGCGCGGUGAAUACGUUCCCGGGCCUUGUACACACCGCCCGUCAAGCCAUGGAAGUCUGGGGUACCUGAAGUCGGUGACCGUAAAAGGAGCUGCCUAGGGUAAAACAGGUAACUAGGGCUAAGUCGUAACAAGGUAACC
rnacentral:rRNA from 1 species